GACGAACGCUGGCGGCGUGCCUAAUACAUGCAAGUCGAACGCUGAAGGAGGAGCUUGCUUCUCUGGAUGAGUGGCGAACGGGUGAGUAACGCGUAGGUAACCUGCCUGGUAGCGGGGGAUAACUAUUGGAAACGAUAGCUAAUACCGCAUAAGAGUUGAUGUUGCAUGACAUUUGCUUAAAAGGUGCAAUUGCAUCACUACCAGAUGGUCCUGCGUUGGAUUAGCUAGUUGGUGGUGUAACGGCUCACCAAGGCGACGAUACAUAGCCGACCUGAGAGGGUGGUCGGCCACACUUGGACCGGGACACGGCCCAGAACCCUACGGGAGGCAGCAAGAGGGGAACUUCCGCAAUGGGCGGAAGUCUGGCCGAGCAACGCCGCGGGAGUGAAGAAGGUUUUCGGGUCGUAAAGCCCCGUUGUAAGAGAAGAACCAGUGGGGGAGUGGAAAAUUCACACUGUGACGGUAUCUUACCAGAAAGGGACGGCUAACUACGUG
rnacentral:rRNA from 1 species